GAGUUUGAUCUUGACUCAGGAUGAACGCUGGCGGCGUGCCUAAUACAUGCAAGUCGAGCGAACGGACGAGAAGCUUUGCUUCUCUGAUGUUAGCGGCGGACGGGUGAGUAACACGUGGGUAACCUACCUAUAAGACUGGGAUAACUCCGGGAAACCGGGGCUAAUACCGGAUAACACAUGAAACCGCAUGGUUUCAUGAUGAAAGACGGUCUUGCUGUCACUUAUAGAUGGAUCCGCGCUAGCAUUAGCUAGUUGGUAAGGUACGGCUUACCAAGGUCAACGAUGCAUAGCCGACCUGAGAGGGUGAUCGGCCACACUGGAACUGAGACACGGUCCAGACUCCUACGGGAGGCAGCAGUAGGGAAUCUUCCGCAAUGGGCGAAAGCCUGACGGAGCAAACGCCGCGUGAGUGGUGAAGGUCUUCGGGAUCGUAAAACUCUGUUAUUAGGGAAG
rnacentral:rRNA from 1 species